UAAAUAAGAAACACAGUUGCUAUUUAACUGAUUAAAUGUAUGCCGAAUUGACCAGCAGCUUCUGUUCAUUUAAGUUGUGUAGCUGUUGUGUUGCCAGAUAUCUCUGUAUGUCUGCAGCAAGCAAUAUGACUUUAAAUUCACGGCUUUUUCAAGCGAAUCUGGUGUUGAUUUGCAUGUUUAACGUUACACAGGUCCCCGUCAUUCAUUCUGUCUAAUUAGCUCUCCUGACCCUCUAAGCAUGGCUGUGACCUCUUCAUCCAGUAAAGACGCUGACUUCUGGCUCAUCACUUUGACUGCUGGCUGACACCGGACCGGCGCUAAGCGGAGGAUGGAUCCUUUUCGGGCCAGGGCGUGCAAUUACAGCAAGAUUUUCCGGAAAUGCGGAUCCAAUUUGGCACUACAUUCGAAUGGAAAACUAACUACAGAUUGGCACUGUGAAAAGCCACAGUUACCGGUCAUACCAGACCAAGCUGUUAAGUAGCAAAAUACUUGAGUGUAUUAAAUUGAGCCAG